rnacentral:lncRNA from 1 species
GUCUUUAUUUAUUUAUUUAUUUAUUUAUUUAUUUAUUUUUUAUCAUAUUUAGAAUUAUCUUCUAACUUAUUAUCUAAAUUCAUAAAGAAAUUCAAUACCAGGACACCUGGGUGGCUCAGUCAUUGAGCAUCUGCUUUUGGUUCAGGGCAUGAUCCCGAGGUCCAGGGAUUGAGUCCCACAUUGGGCUCCCUGCAAGGAGUCUGCUUCUCCCUCUGCUUAUAUCUCUGCCUCUCUAUGUCUCUCAUGAAUGAAUAAAUAAAAUCUUAAAAAGAAAAAAAGAAAGAAAGAAACUCAAUACCUUUCCUCAGGGAAAGAUUUUAAUACAUUAUUUUAUCUUAAUACUUAGGUACCUAAAGUUUUCUCCUUACAUAAUUAAAUGUGCAUCUUUUAGUGAGAAGAGCUGUGUGUUAAUAUUUUCAUAUUGUUCUCUUUUAUUUCAAAUCUUAAAAAAAGGUGAUCCCUGGGUGGCUUAGUGGUUUAGCCCGUGCCUUCAGCCCAGGGCAUGAUCCUGGAAACUUGGGAUCAAGUCCCACAUCAGGCUCCCUGCAUGGAGCCUGCUUCUCCCUCUGCCUGUGUCUCUGCCUCUCUCUUUCUCUCUCUCUCUAUGUCUCUCAUGAAUAAAUAAAUAAAAUCUUAAAAACAAAAACAAAUCUUAAGAAAGGAUUUCAUUGACUCUGAGCACACAGAUGUGGCAAGGCAUUUAUCUGGGGCGAGGAACAAGUCAUCCACUCAUAGCCUCUUGCACAACCAUGUGUGCACAUGGUCUGAUUGUAGUGCCACUUGCGCCAUGGACAUCCAGGAUAGUGACAGCAGUACCUGUCAGAUGCUCACUCCCUGAUUUGUCUGAUAGGGCAAGGUUGCACAGGGAGUGCCCAACCGCCCAGCCAGUCCUGUCAGAGGGGAACCCACAGAUGGAUCGGGGGUGAAGAAGAGAGUAACAAGAGUCCUUUCCUGUAAAAACAGUCAAGAUGAAAAAAUUAAGAGGCAACUUCACCAUCAACUGUGGAUGAGUGCAGGAGGGAGAGACAGGCAGAAGAAAAGCAGGCAUUGGUAAAUGAUAAUUUUUUU